rnacentral:tRNA from 1 species
GCCGCCAUGGUGAAAUUGGUAG